AGCCUCACAGUAGGCCCAAAAGAUAAGAACUGAACAUGAGAAUUCAUGAACAGGCUACUUAUUUUAUUAUAGGGGCAAAAUAGUAAUUAUACAUUAUCAUCGAUGCAAUCGUUACAAUAAUUCUCACCUCCCUUGUAGACAGGGGGGACGGUCUACAAGGAGUGAAGGCACAACUUGGAUCUCCGUAGGCCUACGGUAGCCAACUGGGCCCAGCCCCAGCUGGUGGCCAACUAGUCACUCCCCCCUAAAGAGCCUUAGGAACAACUAGGCUUGUGGCAGGAGGAGACAUCAACAUGUCUCAUAUGACACCCCCCCUAAAAUAAAUACAUGAAAAGGAAUUACAACAAAUUGUCUCGGUCAUUAUCUUCCUACUAAUUUCUACUAUUUUAUCCCAAUAUUGCUUUCUAGGAAUUCUAAUGUUGGAAAAUUACAGUUUUGGUCCCUAAAAACUCUAUGACCCUGACACUCCCCCACUUAAACGGUGACGUCCUCGUCGACUGAGUUUGUUAGGGUUCUUCAAUCUUUGAGUCUGACAUUCUUAGGCUCGCAGUGUGAUCUGAUCCCAGUCCUGCUCAAUUAAAUUGUUAGACAGCCUUAAUCCUUAGUAUCUCCUCUCAAUUGAUCUCUGUGAACUGUUAGUUCUUAAUGAUGAUGAGACUACAAAAGCUCUAUCUUCUGGUGGUAAAUGUUUUGCCCUUGAUUCCUUAGACUACUGCAAAUGGUGCGAGAAAUUAUUGCUUUACUCCUCUGCACGAACUUAUUGCCUGAAGUCAUUGAUCACUAGUUCUUUUCUCCUUGACCUGUCUCGCCGUUACUUGUUUUUAAUUGUCGACCUUACUCUUUGCCUCAAAAGCACGACCCCAUGGUGCAACAAAUCUAUCAACCUGCAUACACUCACGCCAUACGACAUCAUGAUUAACCUGUAAUAGUCUCAAAAGAAAGGUUAGUACUAACCACGUUAGAAUCAAAUACGAAUUAAUAUAGCAAGUCAUCUAGAAUACAAUCCAUUAUAAAUUUAUAGGUGUGACAAUAACACUCGACCACUAAAACUUGAACUGUCUUUACCCAUCCGCUUGACAUAACACAAUGUUAUACCACCUGUACCGAAGCUCGGCGAAUCCUCCUAAGGAAUGGGUGUAUAUUGUCAAAAGAGUUCGCUCAACACUCUCUUUCUCCUUUUGUACGUCUUAUGUUCCUCCCCUUCAUAAGCUUUGGUAUUAUGUGUACUGUAUCUCCUUGUCCUCUCUCUAAGAAUGUAGUCUACGUAAAUGCCUACAAAACACUUCCCAUUACACACACAAAAUAUCCACGACCAAUGAAAAUGGGCAUUUUCUUGUUGAACCCUAUGAGCCACAGAAAUCUACAUAAAACAACUAUUAAGAUUGACUACACAUGAACCAAUUAAUACCAUCAUCAUUACUUGACACUAAGAAAUUACUAGAAGAUACUCCCUUUCUUAUACUGCUUUCAUCAUAGCUCACAACAUCGAUUCGCCUCACCAACUUGCCUCAAGCAACCUGUGCUUCUCGAUCCAUCUCGGUCCUCCCCCACAUUGAUGCACUUGUGAGAACUUUUAUUUGGCCAUGAGGUCUCUUUUCUGCUCGACAACAAAGGUAGGACUAAAUUUGUCCUCUUUAAUUACACAUUAUUAUCUAAUCCCUUUUAAGGCAGCUACCUCCUAUAUGUUCACAAUAUUUGUUAGCACCAACUUGUCAAGUCCCACAUCACGAGGACCCUGACUCAAUAAUCCACAAAAUAUUUCAGAAUAAAUGAAUAACUAUAUAAAGUAAGGUAAGAAAUGAUAUCAGGAAACACAAAAACAUUAUACUCAUCUAAUGUGAGAGGGUUACCUCUCAUUAAAUUCCUUUCUCUCGUACUGAAUUAUCAUUAAGGAUCUCCAUCUCUCAUCAUUACCUUGAGCACCACCCUCCGUUGACGAGUUCAAUGGUCCUCACUUCUGUCAGUUUUCGCUUAUCCCCCUUCUUCCUUUUGUCAGUUUUCGCUUAUCCCCCUUCUUCCUUUUGUCGUAGGAUGAGUGAAUUAUUUGCUUUCACAACGUUGUUGCUCCCAAUGGUAUUUGAUGCAACUCUUGCCCAACGUUACCAUACAUUCCUCUAAAAGAAUGAACAUGUGCUCAACAAUCAUAGUUGGUUGGCACUUCUCAGACAUUAUCCCAUACUCUGGUACUUGUUGUUUUCUUUUCAUCCCCUCUGGACUCCCAUCUAUUCCUCUUUUCCCGACUCAUUUUCAUCCUCGCAAAACUUAGUCUUGGUUUCUUUUUCCUUUUUAGGGUAUGCCCUUCCUAUUUGGUGCUCUUUUUAUACUCUUGUAAAGGAUAUAUUUUUAAGAGAAGAGGCAACUACCACCUUUUGAUCUAUCACCAUCUUAUCCAUACCAGUGUUUCAUUUGAGUUUCCCAAGAACUUUUCUUCUGCACCAACAACACCGCACCACAUAGUAAGAGUUGUAGGAGCACUAGCUUGCUCCCUGGUUAUACACCAGGAUUAAGUAAUUUAUAAAAGAAUAUCAUAACAGCUGAUAACCACAAUACUCCUUUCUCACAACUUACUCCAUUUAUUAUAUAUAUAUAUAUAUAUAUAUAUAUAUAUAUUUUUUUUUUUUUACUUACACACGGCUAGACAAUACUUCAUCGAAUGCUACUUUUCGUUGAGUUUACCCUUGCACCACUUUAUGCUGGAUAGCCAUUAGUUUCUUCUUCACUACUUUCGACUACCUCUCCUUUAUCAAGGAAUAAUUGUUGGUCGAAAUAGAGAUAAUUUAUAUCAUUCUGGGAGAUGCCACAUCAAUUAAUGUCCCAGGUUCACUAAAAAGAAAUUGUGAAGUCCAUCUUACUUUUUGAUGUUCUCGAUUAAGUGAGUUUGUCAAAGGACAUGCUCAACUUAAUCCCCACACUCAAGUUGUCUGCUUAGUCUUUAUUUCCUCAUAUCAUCCACUUCAGUUUUAUUCGUGAUUCUCACAACUGUGUAAAUAGUGCACGAAUCUUGUAUUCGUGCCCGCUUUGUAGACUUUGAAGAUCUUCUCCUCCAUCCCAUGUCCCUUAUUUGACAUAACACUCGCAGAACAUGUCCAUCAUGCUUGAUCCCUUUAUGCAAAUAAUACUACCUUAGGCGGGGAGGAACAAGAAAGUACAAACAACCUAAAGUUGACAACUCUAUGAUUUAUACCUAAUGUUCCCUCCCCCCUUACUCACCAUGUCCCUCAAGACCUUCGACACAUUUCUGCACCAGCAACUUGUAAAAUCAUAUGGCUUUCUUUAUAGAGAACACUUCAUACUACUUAGUUAUGCCACUUCCAUGUCCUCUUGUUUACCACCUUUCAGACUGCUCUCCCACUUAUUGCUUCGGCCCAUCUUCUUAGGCGGCUAUCAAUAAGAUAUUAGAGUUGAAUAUUCCUUCAACUCCUUGGUAAUAGAACCAACUCAAUAUUGGUCGUCCUUUACGCUACACCAUAAUCCUCCAGGUUUCAACCUUCUUCAGGAAGGUUUUAAGCUCAGUUAUGUCUCUUGAAUUGUUGUCACAAUCCGCUUACUCUAUUAAAAUCAAGUGUCACGUCCUCUUGUGUUUUCCAUAGAUGCUGAAAAGUUCCUUUAUGUACUUUCCUUAUGAACACCUUGUUGGAGUUUACCAACUCUCUUGAAUAGCAAAUGUUACAUUCUUGUAGUAAAACUGGAGCUUAUCAUUUCAUAUCCCCCUUUUCUCAUGUAUAGAGUGAACACUCUCUAUUCAUGGAACUAUACCCUUUCAUUUUUUUUUUUGAAUAGAUUUAGCUUUAUAGCUUGAUCCCAUAAACGUUGUUCUUUAUAUGUCUGCACAGUCACCAUUCCCAAUAAUAUUAAUGAAUAAGUUCAUAUUGAAGAGAAAAAAAAUUAUUUACCUCCAUUUCACAACAAGGAUUGAAGUUCUAAGAUUCCACCCGUGCCUACUUCAUAGGCAUUAGCUCGUAAUUCACGCCAUUGAUAAUUGUUCCUCUGGUUCACUUCUGAAGUAUUGCUCAUAAUCUUUCCUAUGUCAUAUUUAAUCUUAUUGCACCAUUCCUGCAAGUAAAACAAAAUACAUGAGAGGCCUCUGCCUCAAUUUUAUAUCGGAAGGCCUCUUGCCUCAAUCCGACUCAGAAGUCCUCUUGCCUCAAUUUUGUCUCAAGAGGCCUCUUGCCUCAAUCUGACUCAGAAGGCCUCUUGCCUCAAUUUUGUCUCAGGAGGCCUCUUGCCUCAAUUUGACUCUAGAGGCCUCUUGCCUCAAUUUUGGGUGAAAUGGUCUCGGGAUUCUCAGAUGGCCUCAAGCUCUAUUGGCUCAUCCUCCCCCUUAUCACCAUACCCUGAGGUCAUUACCCCCUCUCCAAGGGUCACAAAAGGGGAGUAUGUAGCACCUAGUCACUACCCCCUCCCAGAAAACAUUUCCAAUGGAGUGUGCAGUACUAGGUCAUUACUUCUCUCCCAAUGGUGUCCCUAGUGGAGUGGGCAGCACCUCUGGUUUAUAUGGCCAGACUAGCCCGAAAGCUCAUGCUUUUGUCUUCUUCGUCUCCACAACUAUUUGUGCUACUACUCCUCGUAGCUUUGAAAUUGGGAGGUCAUGACCUCCCCUUUUCAGCAUUUUAUACUCAAGAUCACCCCACCGGGUGUCCCUUGCAUGAAAGAGGUUUUGGGGUGGCCUUAAUCUCCCGACAGUUUGGCUAUCACAGCCAACAACAUUCAUUUUCCCUCCCUAGUGCCUCAAGACACUAAAAAAUGGAAUCAAUCUCCAACGCCCUCCCCACUUGGGUGGCCUAAACAUUCAGCAAGGCAGCAAGGUUCUCCACCUUUCUCUCACGGGCCUUCACUCGUGUGGCCAACUUUGUCCGACCUUUAUACUGCUCGCAGAUUUUUCUUGCUCUGAUACCAAUUGUCACGGUUUCAAAUUUCAACAAUCACCUGGAACCGUGCGGCACUUGACUUGAACACCUUCAAGCCAAGUCAGCCUUAAGAAUCACCCGAUACCCUGUGAACAUGAAUACCCUGAUUAGUCAAGUUUCUAUAAAUGGACAACGAAACCUACAGGCAGCAUUCCAUCAGAAGCCUCACAAUAGGCACAAAAGAUAAGAACUGAACAUGAGAAUUCAUGAACAAGCUACUUAUUUUAUUAUAGGGGCAAAAUAGUAAUUAUACAUUAUUAUCGAUGCAAUCGUUACAAUAAUUCUCACCUCCCUUGUAGACAGGGGGGACGGUCUACAAGGAGUGAAGGCACAACUUGGAUCUCCGUAGGCCUACGGUAGCCAACUG
rnacentral:lncRNA from 1 species